rnacentral:rRNA from 1 species
AUUGAACGCUGGCGGCAUGCCUUACACAUGCAAGUCGAACGGUAACAGGUUAAGCUGACGAGUGGCGAACGGGUGAGUAAUAUAUCGGAACGUGCCCAGUCGUGGGGGAUAACGUAGCGAAAGCUACGCUAAUACCGCAUACGAUCUACGGAUGAAAGCGGGGGAUCGCAAGACCUCGCGCGAUUGGAGCGGCCGAUAUCAGAUUAGGUUGUUGGUGAGGUAAAAGCCCACCAAGCCUGCGAUCUGUAGCUGGUCUGAGAGGACGACCAGCCACACUGGAACUGAGACACGGUCCAGACUCAGACGGGAGGCAGCAGUGGGGAAUUUUGGACAAUGGACGCAAGUCUGAUCCAGCAAUGCCGCGUGAAGGACGAAGGCCUUCGGGUUGUAAACUGCUUUUGUACGGAACGAAACGGUGAGCUCUAAUACAGUUUGCUAAUGACGGUACCGUAAGAAUAAGCACCGGCUAACUACGUGCCAGCAGCCGCCGUAA